rnacentral:rRNA from 1 species
GAGGGAAAAGGAUUUAUUCGCUUCAGGAUGGACUCGCGUCCAAUUAGCUAGUUGGUGAGGUAACGGCCCACCAAGGCGACGAUUGGUAGCCGGACUGAGAGGUUGAACGGCCACAUUGGGACUGAGACACGGCCCAGACUCCUACGGGAGGCAGCAGUGGGGGAUAUUGCACAAUGGGGGAAACCCUGAUGCAGCGACGCCGCGUGGAGGAAGAAGGUUUUCGGAUUGUAAACUCCUGUCGUUAGGGACGAUAAUGACGGUACCUAACAAGAAAGCACCGGCUAACUACGUGCCAGCAGCCGCGGUAAAACGUAGGGUGCAAGCGUUGUCCGGAAUUACUGGGUGUAAAGGGAGCGCAGGCGGACCGGCAAGUUGGAAGUGAAAACUAUGGGCUCAACCCAUAAAUUGCUUUCAAAACUGCUGGCCUUGAGUAGUGCAGAGGUAGGUGGAAUUCCCGGUGUAGCGGUGGAAUGCGUAGAUAUCGGGAGGAACACCAGUGGCGAAGGCGACCUACUGGGCACCAACUGACGCUGAGGCUCGAAAGCAUGGGUAGCAAACAGGAUUAGAUACCCUGGUAGUCCAUGCCGUAAACGAUGAUUACUAGGUGUUGGAGGAUUGACCCCUUCAGUGCCGCAGUU